rnacentral:rRNA from 1 species
UACGAAGGGGGCUAGCGUUGCUCGGAAUUACUGGGCGUAAAGCGCACGUAGGCGGCUUGUUAAGUCGGGGGUGAAAUCCUGGAGCUCAACUCCAGAACUGCCUUCGAUACUGGCGAGCUCGAGUUCGGGAGAGGUGAGUGGAACUGCGAGUGUAGAGGUGAAAUUCGUAGAUAUUCGCAAGAACACCAGUGGCGAAGGCGGCUCACUGGCCCGGUACUGACGCUGAGGUGCGAAAGCGUGGGGAGCAAACAGG